rnacentral:lncRNA from 1 species
CUGCACUUGGGCACUGUGCUUUUAUCAGCUCUGUUAAUGAUGUUAGGUAGAUACACAUUGUUCUCUUUCAAGCAGCUUUUACAGGGUUAGUAUCUAAAGUGCUCUGUUUUCUGACUAAUUUUAGUGACUAUUUACAACAAAGAAUUUAUAGAAAUGGUAGAAAUUGGCUUUUCUGACAACUGUUUUGUAACCAGGUCUAAAAGCGCUGUAGAAGAAUCUGGCAUCUCUCUGUGUCAGUCUCGUCACCUAGUUGCAAAUGUUGUUAGCAAUAACUGUGUUUAUUAGAGAAGUAGGCCCAACAGAGGAAAACUUCUCAGGGUGGUAGUCACCAGUCAAAUACUGAGAAAUGUGUAGGUUGCCCCAAGCCUCAGGUCUCUAAUUAGGCGAGACAAACUUAGGAAUGGAGAAAAGGGCAGGGCAGCAGAAGCAGAAACACAGAUGCAGAAGGGUUCCCCUUCUAAGGGGGCAAGAAAGGGGCAGCUGGCUGAGAGGAGGGCACCUGACAGGAGUAGAAGAGUGGCUGCGAAGAGACAGGGAAAGGAUGAGGUGCUGCGUGGAGCUGAGGAGAGGAGCCAGGACCAGAGCGAGACAGAUCACAGCACGAGAGUCUGCAGGAAACUCUCUGAAGGACCAUAGUGAUAUUCAGUGGCCUCAGACAAGAUGGAGACGAGACCCACUGUCUGCAACUGCAGCAGGAGGCAGCCAGGAGAGUUUGCUGUGUGCUACUGACAGACUGGACAAAGAAAAUAGUCUUGUUCUCUUUUUGCACGUGGGCAACAAUGGGUUAAAUGAUUUCCCAGAGGUCACACAAAAUGUCAGCAGAAGAGGGAGAACAAAGCUUACCCUUCCUGAGUCCAGCACUACACUUCCAGUCUAAAAUCUCUGCAGCUCUAGUCAAGGAAAGAGGAAAAAGGAUUAGUGAAGGCAGAGCACACAGCCUCACAGCUGCUCAUAGGCAGCACGUUAAUCGAAGCUAAGCUUCUGCACAGCAGCGCUGCAAGCGGCAUGGAAUUCACAUCGGAAAUGAAAAUAUUGGCAGAAACGUAGCCCGGGACGAUCUUCUGGGUUCUGUUUCUAGGGUCUGUAUCUCUGUAUCUAAGUGCCUCAUGGUCAUCGUUGGAUUUUAUCCUCAUGAAAUCAUAGUGAGGAAAAAAAGUUUUAUCUCCGUCUUGGGAAGGCAGAAUUCAGGCAGGCGUUUGAUGAAAUGUGUUAUCUUGGGGUCCCUGGGAAGGCUGAGGCUGAGUUCAGCAGUAGAGCAAAAGCUUAAUAAGUUUCAAUCUAUAUUCCUAAAUCCCCUAAAUCACCUUUUUGAGAUUGGAUUUUUAUGAAGCUGAAGUCCACUGCAUGGUCUUUGUUUAUAUUGCUCUCUGAGAGAGCAAUGAACGGCUCCUGCUCCCUUGCUCUGUGAGUUUGUUAGGAGCCUUUUUAAUAGAAUUACAAGGAAAAAUAUGGGCCUGCCGCAGGGCUAGGGAGGUUGAGGAUGCUGAAACAGAAGGAACAAUUCCUUUCUCACCAACCUCAGGGCUAUUUGGCCAUAGGAUUGACCUUGAGAAGCUGCUUCUAAGGAGCUGGAGGAACAUGGGUAUGGUGUUGAUGGACUGAGUAUUGGAAAAGGACAAUUGCAAGGAGCAGCUUCAUCAACAUUUUACUCUGGGCAACAGAUCUGAUGGGAGGUAGGCACGGUUGUUCCCAGAUGACACCCGUCACCUCUUUCUCCUGUGAGGUACCGUCACGUCACACUAUUUGUGGCUCUAGGAAUUGUCCCUGGGAGACUGUGGAUCAAGGGGCUGGUGUAAAGGUUGAGAUCCCAGCAUCUCUUCUGUAAUUCUGUCAUUUGGAAGAAAUUUCAAGCCCCUCCCAUAGAUUUCCCUGGUCAUUCAUCCUAAGAAAGCAUUAUAUGAUGUGUUCUCUGCAUUGGAAUGUACUGAUUAUUAUAUGUUACUGAGAUCUUGUUUAUUAUUGCCUUUUCCUUUUAUACUGAGUCAUGGCAGAACUAUUCAGUUUGCCCCCUGUCUGAGCUCCACCCCACUCUCACCCCCUCCCCCCCCAGCUCAAGAACAAAACAACUCACUGCAUACAGGUCCCGCUGCUUACCAAUGCAGUUUUCCUGAUGCCUCAGUCAGCAUGACAUUUCCAGGCUUAGAUCUGCACUUGCCAAGUCAGGGCUCAAAACCCUGGACCCACUCUAGAUGCUUACUGAUGGGUUCAUGAAAGAAAUUCCACAUCCCUUCUAUAUCUAGCUUCAUACCUAGUUUGCAACAACUGAUAGAUCUGUAAGAGGGCUUGUAUGUGAUAUUCAUUUUGGCUUUCUAGGCUUAGAUGCUAGCAGAAAUGUGUAAUGCUCUGGAAAAAAGGACGGACUACUGUGUGGACACUAAAUAGGCCAGUUACUUGUAUUUCCUUGCUAAUGCUUUGAACAUUGUCUGUAGGUCUAAACUUCGAUUGUCAACUGAUUGAUGACAAUGUAGACAAGUAUACAUUGUGUUUAUGGUCACAUUGGCAAGAGCAACCCAUCAUGUUAAACACUGCAGAUUUUAUCCUCCUUAUCACUGCGGGAUCAUGUUGUGUCCUAUUAGCUGGUAUCACAACAGGGGCUUUGUUUGUGUAAUGUUAGACUAGAGUGUUCAACAUAAUGAAUACUCUCUUACAGCUGGUUUACACAAGGAUUGUUGCCAUUUUUCACAAUGAUUUUUUUUUUUUUAAACACGUCUGUAUAUAGACAGUCAACAUGACCUAGAAGAAUUUGAAAUUCCCAUCUGGACAGUGUAUUUGAUUCUCAAGUUCAGGAAUAUUUAUCAGAUGUUCUAUUAAAAUUGUUUUCUCAUUUGUUUUCUAUUUUAUAAUUGGUGGAAAAUGUUUGUACACUAGAUAAUUUCUUUUUCUUCUGCUUAAUGCUUAAAUCUUCUAGGUUGUUAUAACCCUUUAUUUUUUAUUUUCUGCUAGUUCAUUAGUUUCUCAAGAGCCUACAAAAUUGCCAGUCACUUUUCUCCAAUACUCUGUUCUACAAAGCACUGUCCACUGUGUUAUGCUAUUUUGAAUUUUUUCUCUUAUCACUGGUCUGCGUCAUGCCCAGCAAGAGUAUAAAUAUGGUAGACUCUCAGAUAUUUGGUUCUAACAACAGAGGAGAAGGGCUUUGGCAUUACAUUGCUCCUGUUUCUGUUCAGGGUCACAGAAUCAUACAUAGAAAUGAGAGCAUCUGAUCAUAACUGUCCUUUCUAACAACAGUAGCUACCUUCAAAUAGCAUCUAUUUACAACCUUUUCUGCCUCUAUAAUUGGUGUAAUACACUCAAGCAUAAUCAGUAUUUUUACCACAGAAAGGAAUACAUAAUACAUUUAUGUAUCUACACAGGAAUAAAUAUAUAGAGAGGGAAAGGCA